rnacentral:rRNA from 1 species
GACGAGGCACUACGGUGCUGAAGCAACAAAUGCCCUGCUUCCAGGAAAAGCCUCUAAGCAUCAGGUAACAUCAAAUCGUACCCCAAACCGACACAGGUGGUCAGGUAGAGAAUACCAAGGCGCUUGAGAGAACUCGGGUGAAGGAACUAGGCAAAAUGGUGCCGUAACUUCGGGAGAAGGCACGCUGACACGUAGGUGAAGUGAUUUACUCAUGGAGCUGAAGUCAGUCGAAGAUACCAGCUGGCUGCAACUGUUUAUUAAAAACACAGCACUGUGCAAACACGAAAGUGGACGUAUACGGUGUGACGCCUGCCCGGUGCCGGAAGGUUAAUUGAUGGGGUCAGCGCAAGCGAAGCUCCUGAUCGAAGCCCCGGUAAACGGCGGCCGUAACUAUAACGGUCCUAAGGUAGCGAAAUUCCUUGUCGGGUAAGUUCCGACCUGCACGAAUGGCGUAAUGAUGGCCAGGCUGUCUCCACCCGAGACUCAGUGAAAUUGAACUCGCUGUGAAGAUGCAGUGUACCCGCGGCAAGACGGAAAGACCCCGUGAACCUUUACUAUAGCUUGACACUGAACAUUGAGCCUUGAUGUGUAGGAUAGGUGGGAGGCUUUGAAGUGUGGACGCCAGUCUGCAUGGAGCCGACCUUGAAAUACCACCCUUUAAUGUUUGAUGUUCUAACGUGGACCCGUAAUCCGGGUUGCGGACAGUGUCUGGUGGGUAGUUUGACUGGGGCGGUCUCCUCCUAAAGAGUAACGGAGGAGCACGAAGGUUGGCUAAUCCUGGUCGGACAUCAGGAGGUUAGUGCAAUGGCAUAAGCCAGCUUGACUGCGAGCGUGACGGCGCGAGCAGGUGCGAAAGCAGGUCAUAGUGAUCCGGUGGUUCUGAAUGGAAGGGCCAUCGCUCAACGGAUAAAAGGUACUCCGGGGAUAACAGGCUGAUACCGCCCAAGAGUUCAUAUCGACGGCGGUGUUUGGCACCUCGAUGUCGGCUCAUCACAUCCUGGGGCUGAAGUAGGUCCCAAGGGUAUGGCUGUUCGCCAUUUAAAGUGGUACGCGAGCUGGGUUUAGAACGUCGUGAGACAGUUCGGUCCCUAUCUGCCGUGGGCGCUGGAGAACUGAGGGGGGCUGCUCCUAGUACGAGAGGACCGGAGUGGACGCAUCACUGGUGUUCGGGUUGUCAUGCCAAUGGCACUGCCCGGUAGCUAAAUGCGGAAGAGAUAAGUGCUGAAAGCAUCUAAGCACGAAACUUGCCCCGAGAUGAGUUCUCCCUGAGACUUAGAGUCUCCUGAAGGAACGUUGAAGACGACGACGUUGAUAGGCCGG